GCAAUCGUCGCCUAGUGGUAUGGCGCUGGUCUGCUAAACCGGUGUCCAACGGACUCGUGGGUUCGAUCCCCACCGAUUGCG
rnacentral:tRNA from 1 species